rfam:Erysipelothrix rhusiopathiae str. Fujisawa DNA, complete genome.
AACUAUGUUAUCAAUUAACCAAAGACAGUAACGGGGCAACCUUAAUAAUGUUACCGAGGUGAAAGUAUAAAACUUUUGAACCUGUCUUUUGGAUAGGUUUAUUUUUUUUGGUUU